rnacentral:lncRNA from 1 species
UGCCCGUUUAAUCAGUAGCAGUCACAUUGUGAAAAGAGGCACACGGAGAUACCAAAAGGGUCUGAGUAUCACCCUACACAGGGUUUGCGGCAACUUUACAUGAGGUAGCGCCCCCCAACCACAAGGAUGAGGAGUAACUUCCACAUGCACAACCAGCCCAUGGCCAUGCUAAAGCGCACCAACAGAACAGGAGGAACCUAAAUAUUGUCAAAGGGAUCCAGACUACUUUUACAAACUAAGCCCCAGAACUGAUAGUUCUUGUUUUCUUCAAUUAAUUGGGAUUAACUCCAUUUCCCCUCUACUCAUUUACUGUAGACCAUCUCUGAACACUACAGCCCGCGGAGUCGAUGUGUGUGUGUGUGUGGCGGGGGGGCAGGGGGGUUUGGUUGUCACUUGAAACUGGAGAGGGUUCAUUUUAAAUAUGAAAUUUUCAAUAAAUCUGAAUUCUCCCUCUAGUUCUCCCCCAUGAUAUUUACAUUUACCUUUGCCUUUUCUUUUUUUUUUCAGACACUCUUCGGAAAAAAAACGGAGAACUUCAGGAUGAAACAGACACUCUUCGGAAAAAAAACGGCACUUGCCACAGUUUCAUGAAGAAGUUGGUGAGAUGCAA